rnacentral:rRNA from 1 species
GGUCGAACGAUGAAGCCCAGCUUGCUGGGUGGAAGAGUGGCGAACGGGUGAGUAACACGUGAGUAACCUGCCCUGAACUCUGGGAUAAGCACUGGAAACGGUGUCUAAUACUGGAUACGACCUAUCACCGCAUGGUGUGUGGGUGGAAAGAUUUAUCGGUUUUGGAUGGACUCGCGGCCUAUCAGCUAGAUGGUGAGGUAAUGGCUCACCAUGGCGACGACGGGUAGCCGGCCUGAGAGGGUGACCGGCCACACUGGGACUGAGACACGGCCCAGACUCCUACGGGAGGCAGCAGUGGGGAAUAUUGCACAAUGGGCGCAAGCCUGAUGCAGCAACGCCGCGUGAGGGAUGACGGCCUUCGGGUUGUAAACCUCUUUUAGUAGGGAAGAAGCGAAAGUGACGGUACCUGCAGAAAAAGCACCGGCUAACUACGUGCCAGCAGCCGCGGUAAUACGUAGGGUGCAAGCGUUGUCCGGAAUUAUUGGGCGUAAAGAGCUCGUAGGCGGCUUGUCGCGUCUGCUGUGAAAUCCCGGGGCUCAACCCCGGGCCUGCAGUGGGUACGGGCAAGCUAGAGUGCGGUAGGGGAGAUUGGAAUUCCUGGUGUAGCGGUGGAAUGCGCAGAUAUCAGGAGGAACACCGAUGGCGAAGGCAGAUCUCUGGGCCGCUACUGACGCUGAGGAGCGAAAGCAUGGGGAGCGAACAGGAUUAGAUACCCUGGUAGUCCAUGCCGUAAACGUUGGGAACUAGAUGUAGGGCCUGUUCCACGGGUUCUGUGUCGUAGCUAACGCAUUAAGUUCCCCGCCUGGGGAGUACGGCCGCAAGGCUAAAACUCAAAGGAAUUGACGGGGGCCCGCACAAGCGGCGGAGCAUGCGGAUUAAUUCGAUGCAACGCGAAGAACCUUACCAAGGCUUGACAUAGCCGAGAACGCUGUAGAGAUACAGAACUCUUUGGACACUCGGUUACA